AACGGCCGUACCAUGCUGAAUAUACCGGUUCUCGUUAGAUCACCGAAGUUAAGCAUCAUAGGGCGCAGUCAGUACUUGGGUGGGUGACCACCUGGGAACACUGCGUGCCGUU
rnacentral:rRNA from 1 species